AUCUAGCUGAAGAGUCCCAAACUAGGACGAAACAGCUGUCCAGCAC
rnacentral:hammerhead_ribozyme from 1 species